CAUUUUGUGGCUUAGUUGGUUAAAGCGCCGCUACAGCGAAUACGGAGUCGUGGGUUUUAAUCCCACCGGAAAGC
rnacentral:tRNA from 1 species